AUUAUGGUCUGUCAUUAAAUAUAUCUCUAUCGUCUACCGAAGGUGGAAUUAUAUUGUAGCUCAAAGCAUACUAAAGUUAUAAAUCGGGGUUUAAUAAAAUGAACGCGUCGAUAGAUAAAUGAUAAGUGUGUGAGUGACCACUAUUGUCUUUUAUAAAAAUCCAUUCAAUAGCUGCCUUUAUUUCGUUGCGGAAUGUGUUUUGGAACAAUAAAAUGCACGGAUUUUUCAAAUUGACAGCUGUGACACCUGUCAAAGUUUGAUUUGACAUAUUGACAAAUGUCACAUACACCCGAAAAACAUAGAAGUCAAAGAUGAAAGUAAGUUGUGUGUUGUAAAAACUAAAGGAAUUCCACCAAAAAUGUUGAUGCAAGACGGACAAGCGGGCAGGAGAAUGAUAGUGAAAUAUUUAAGAGGAUACGUACCCGGGAGCACAAACGUUUACGAUAAUAUCGUUAUCUCUAUCGCUCUUCAAUAUUGGCGCGACAGAGCCAGACUGUGUUUCAAUCGGCGUCUAGCGACGGCGAAUUUCCUCUGAGCAAUUCAGUCAGGGUAUGCUGCAAACAUACCAAGGAGCCAACAAGGAAUGUUGCCUAGGCUUGCCGCGAGAGAUGUGAAAUGCCAUGACACAGACAAAUUUUAAGUGGGCAUGAUAUAUAAUUAUAUACUCAACAACAGCGGGCACUACAAGGCUCUGGCAUAGAGUACCUAGAGCAUGGAAUGAGUCAUGGUAUAUUAGAAAACACUGAAGAUGUCGAGGAAAUACAAGAAGUUGAUGUCGAUCUAAUCAGAGAUAUUAAUUAUUAGAAAUGAAUGUAUUUGAAAUACAAAUAUAAAAUACCUAUUUUCAAUUUUAAAUACUUUUAUCAAAAACUAUUUUGCAUUUUAUUUCAAAUACUAUAAAGUGGAUGUGUUUUGCAUUUUUUUAAACUUUAAAAUACAAAAUUCUUUUUUCACCACACCAACUGGUAGAAGCUCUCUUCAUUCUCCAAAAAACGGAUGAGAAAGUUGAAUUUUAUCCGCAAGAUUGCAAAGUUGUUUCAUACAGACUUUAACUUGUCCUAAGCUGGCUGGUAGAUUUUGCCUUUUAAGUAGGUAUGGUGUUUUUGAAUCAUAUCAUACCUACUCGCAUAUGUUUAAUAAAUUGAUGAUUUUGAUUUAGGUACAGUUAGUAUUUUCCUCGUAUUGCUGUGGUGAAAAAACUGGUGUUUCCCUCGGGGCAAAAUUUGUAUAACCAUUGUGCCUUGAAACCCUCGCAACGCUCAAAACUAAUAGAGCUGCACCUAAGAAAGGUUACUUGUUAGAUUAGUUUGUUUGUUUUUGCACUUCUUCGUUACUUUAUAUAAACUGUAUUAAGUUGUGACAAUAAAGAUUAUUAAUUCAAUAUUUUUAUACGACAUACAUAAAAAAUAUGGAAAUAUAUGGAGAAUGGCUCUAAUUUCCAGUUAUCUGAACUUGUGAAAGUUUUAACAGUGUAGAACUUAAUUUCAAUGACCGAAGAGCUGGCGACUUCCUCACACAACUUAUCAGCAUUGCGGUACAGCGAGGGAUACAAUGCCUUAAGGGCCUAUUUUAGACAUUAGAUUUAGACAAAGAUUAUGUACAUUUCUACGAUGAAAAAUAGUGUACAAAUGUCAGUAAUAAAUGGUACCUAUUUUCUUUAAUUUAUAUUUUUCUGGGUUUUGUAACACAACAGUACAGUACAUUUUAACUCAGAACCCAUAUACAAAUGU